GUUGGACCCUGAGGUUUGCCUUAAAUAAAAUAAUUGUUUUUCCUGCUUUUCCUAACUGCAGUGGUUCUGGUCCCAGCAGAAGUGUCUGAGCUAAUCAUAUAAGGAUGUAAUAGCUCUGGACUCCCCUUCGAGAGCUCUGUGGCUCCCUCGCCUCUGUUCCACCCCUUGUGGGGAAAUUUAUUAAGGAAUUUAAUAUUAUUUGGAAAGCUGAACACAAGAAUAUAUUUCUUAUCCCCUGGGCACCAUUGCAGUCACAUAGUGACAUUAGCUUUCCUGUCCACAGGCCCUGCCAAGUACUUGCCUGUCCCACUGCUCCAGCACAUUUUAAACACUUCAGUUUUAUGGUUUCCUUUUCAUUUAUAUCUCCCCGUGAUACUUCCCUCCUUCUUCCCAGGCAUCUGCAGUCAUGCAAAGAAGCUGGAGAACACCAGUUCCCAGAGGGAGGAGCCUGCUUGAAACACCAAGCAACAGCCUGUGUGUUGGUUCAGGCAAACAACCAACAGCAAAUGAAGGACUGCAAAUAGCCACAAAUAACAGGACUCCAGGAGAAUUCCAGAUGGAAGAGAUGGAAUGAUGACUGCCUUCAGAUUUGUGACCCACAUCCAAAUUGUUCUAAACUGGAAUGGUGGAAAUGAUAAUAAACAAAGGUGUUAAUU